AAAAUUUACUGUGCAAUUCAGUAUAAUUUGAUAAGAUUAUAUUCUUACUUUAAUUUAUUUAUAUUUAU
rnacentral:tRNA from 1 species